CACAAUCAGAGUCUGGAGGUUCAGAUUCCUUUUCAAGAUAGGAAUUAAUUUCCUAUCACAAAGACAAAAAUUAAACUCCUUCAAGGGAGCAUCAUAUGAUGAUUACACAUAUAGAGCGCCGGCAAUUCCGCCGUUGAGGGAGCGUUGAGAUGAGGUGAGCUACUGGAGGGGCGGUGGCUGCUCUGCUACCGAUGGAGAGAGGCCUGCUAAAAAAUCGUUGGAAUAAGGCUAAA
rnacentral:misc_RNA from 1 species